rnacentral:rRNA from 1 species
UACGUAGGGUGCAAGCGUUAAUCGGAAUUACUGGGCGUAAAGCGUGCGCAGGCGGUUCGUUGUGUCGGCGGUGAAAGCCCCGGGCUUAACCUGGGAAUGGCCGUUGAAACUGGCGAACUGGAGUGUGGCAGAGGGGGGUGGAAUUCCGCGUGUAGCAGUGAAAUGCGUAGAGAUGUGGAGGAACACCGAUGGCGAAGGCAGCCCCCUGGGCCAACACUGACGCUCAGGCACGAAAGCGUGGGGAGCAAACAGG